AGGACGAACGCUGGCGGCGUGCUUAACACAUGCAAGUCGAGCGGAAAGGCCUUUCGGGGUACUCGAGCGGCGAACGGGUGAGUAACACGUGAGUAAUCUGCCCAUCGCUUCAGGAUAGCCAUCGGAAACGGUGAUUAAUACUGGAUAUGACAUUCCUUCGCAUGUUGGGGUGUGGAAAGUUUUUUCGGCGGUGGAUGUGCUCGCGGCCUAUCAGCUUGUUGGUGGGGUAAUGGCCUACCAAGGCUUUGACGGGUAGCCGGCCUGAGAGGGUCGACCGGCCACGACGUGGGACUGAGACACGGCCCAGACUCCGUACGGGAGGCAGCGAGUGGGAAUAGUUGGACAAGUGGGCGGAAGCC
rnacentral:rRNA from 1 species